UACGGAGGGGGCUAGCGUUGUUCGGAAUUACUGGGCGUAAAGCGCACGUAGGCGGCUUUGCAAGUUAGAGGUGAAAGCCCGGGGCUCAACUCCGGAAUUGCCUUUAAAACUGCAUCGCUAGAAUUGUGGAGAGGUAAGUGGAAUUCCGAGUGUAGAGGUGAAAUUCGUAGAUAUUCGGAGGAACACCAGUGGCGAAGGCGGCUCACUGGCCCGAUACUGACGCUGAGGUGCGAAAGCGUGGGGAGCAAACAGG
rnacentral:rRNA from 1 species